UCAUUUAAUUGGCAGAAAGCCAAGGAUUUCUAAGAUAGAGCCUUGACAAAAGCAGAGUAGGGUGAGGUCAUAACUCUGAUGUAAACAACGGUAGUGAGCAUGUGCAGAAAGAAAAAAAAUGCUUGACAAUGAACAUGUGCAGUACAAAAUUAGAUGAAAGGAUAUUGGCAGGAAGCCAGGGAGAGAACAAACAGCUCCAGUCUGGGCUAAUGUGGGGCUGCUUUUUCUGGCAGCAGCAAACAUUCCCAGACAAAGACCUGACAGUGAGGACAGUAUAAAAGGCAAACAAUCAGCAGGCACAGGUCAGUUAGGUGCUGGUGAGAAGAGCUGCUGGAAAGGAGUUAGAAGAGUGGCUGCUGGAGAAAAGAAAAGAACAGAUUCAAAGCUACAACAGUACAGAGCAAGAGAAGCUGCUGAGAGUGAGCCAAGAGGCAACAAUAGCUGACUAAGUAGCUAUAGUAAUAGUAGCAGCAAUCAGCAGCUACAGUAAACAACACAGCGGAAUCAACAGAUAGUAUUAUAUAAAGAGUGUUUCAGAAAAAAAUGCUACCAUUGAUGUCAUGAAGGCAAAUUGGUAUAAAAAGGAAGUCUCAUUGACCAACCAAUUCACAGAAUGAUUCAAAUGAUAUGAAAGACACAUUCUGCUUUGGAAAAUACACCAAUAUAUUUGAAGACUUACAGUACAAGAAACUCAUCACGGUCAUAAGGAAGGUGGCAUAAUUUCAGCAAGUCAACAAGGGUUUAUGGAAAACAGAUCUUAUCAAACUAACUUUUUUUAAAAAUGAGAUUACAGGUUUGGUUGAUAAAGGUAGUAUUGUUGAUGUGAUAUAUUUAGACUUCUAUAAGGCACUUCAUUCAGUAUCACACAGCAUUUUAACUAGAAAACCUUCACUGAUAUAAAAUGAACAUUGCACAUAUUAAGUGAAUUAAGAACUGGCUAAUAGCUCUCAAAAUAUAAUUGUAAAUGGGGAAUCAUUAUUGAAUGGGUGUGCUUCUCAUCAGGCCCAACAAGGAUCGGUUCUUGGGUGUAUGCUAUUUAACAAUUAUUAAUGACCUUGGAGAAAACAUAAAAUCGUCACUGAUAAGUUUUGCAGAUGACUCAAAAAUCAGGGAAGUAGUAAAUAAAGAAGAGGACAGAUCACUGAGGCAGAGCAAUAUAGAUUGCUUGGUAAACUGGGUGAAAACAAUACAUGUUUUAAUAUGGCUAAAUGUAAAUGUAGACCUCUAGGAACAAAGAUUGUA